ensembl:lncRNA
GAGAGAGGUUGAGAGAAAGAUGGGGUUGAGAGAGAGAGGUUGAGAGAGAGAGAUUGAGAGAGAGAGAGAGAGAGAGAUUGAGAGAGAGAGGGAGAGAGAGGUUGAGAGAGAGAGGUUGAGAGAGAGAGAUAGGUUGAGAGAGAGAGAAGUUGAGAGGGAAAGGUUGAGAGUAAGAGAGGUUGAGAGAGAGAAAGAGAGAGGAUGAGAGAGAGGCUGAGAGAGAGGCUGAGCUAGAGAGAGGUUGAGAGAGAGAGGUGGAGAGAGAGAGGUUGAGAGAGAGAGGUUGAGAGAGAGGUUGAGAGAGAGAGGUUGAGAGAGAAAGAGGUUGAGAGAGAGAAAUUGAGAGAGAGGUUGAGAGAGAGAGAGAGAGAGCGUUUGAGAGAGAGAGAUUGAGAGAGAGAGGGAGAGAGAGAGAGAGAGAGAG